AGGUCUUUUCCAAUUAAGUGCACAUUGUCGAAGUCUCGAACGUCUGGAUGUGAGCUGGUGUCAAGGUGUUACUGAAGAUGGUGCUAGAAACAUUCUUAAUGGUUGUUCAAAACUUAAACAUUUAGGUAUAUUCAUUAAUUCAUAUUGAAUAAUGCUUUCCUGAUUCCCAUAUUAUUUUCUAAAAUAAGUUUUUAUGUGAUUAUCUUUUCCCAGGAUUGUUCCGGUGCGGAAAAGUUUCGGAGUCUGCAGCGAACGAACUCAGCUUGCAGUUUCCGCAUGUAUUCAUCAGUACUCUUGAAACAGAAAUGA
rnacentral:lncRNA from 1 species